rnacentral:rRNA from 1 species
UACGAAGGGGGCUAGCGUUGUUCGGAAUUACUGGGCGUAAAGGGCGCGUAGGCGGUGUGUCAAGUCAGGCGUGAAAGCCCCGGGCUCAACCCGGGAAGUGCACUCGAUACUGCCAAGCUAGAGUAUCGGAGAGGUUGGUGGAAUUCUCGGUGUAGAGGUGAAAUUCGUAGAUAUCGAGAGGAACACCGGUGGCGAAGGCGGCCAACUGGACGAAUACUGACGCUGAGACUCGAAAGCGUGGGGAGCAAACAGG